CACUCUCAGGUGUGGACCAGCAUUUUUCAGGCACUUCUGUUCAGGCCCAACCAUCUCCAGGCUUUACCUGGACUUCCCUUUUCCCCAUCAGCAGCAUCAACGUAAAGCUGGGCAGAAGAAGGUUUGAAGGGGGAGGAUGUUGUGGUGGCCCCUUGGAAGGGAUUUUCAGCUCUGUCCUAGAACAGUGAACUCUAGCAAGGUGUUUCCCAUUUUUUUUAGGAGAUUCUUUGAUGUCUUCCAGUUUUUUCCUGAGAUUCCUAAAUGAAACCCCAGUAAAUCUGCUGACUUCUUGUUUUCUUCCUGAGGUUGUUUUCAUUUCUUGGCUGGUUCCUUUUUGUUUUUGUUUUGUUUUCCCAAAUGUCUUUGUGAACCUCUGAUUAAUUCAGCUUCUGAUUCCUUGGCAGUCGCCUCUGGAGACAACACUGAAGAUUUCCACACGUGUGAUCCAUCUUCUUCUUGGCUGCAUAGCCCUCAGUGCUGGAAUUGGGACACGGUCAAGCAGCCCUUGCCAAGCCUACAGAGAACUGCUGGCCUGAAGGUGAACAGGAGUAUUUCCAUGGAGAUGUUUUCCACAGAAACAGGAGGUAAGGGAUCCCCUCCAUCAUGCUGUGCCUAGAAGGUGCCACAAUGCCCAUGUGUAAGGAGCC
rnacentral:lncRNA from 1 species